rnacentral:rRNA from 1 species
AACGAACGCUGGCGGCAUGCCUAACACAUGCAAGUCGAACGAGACCUUCGGGUCUAGUGGCGCACGGGUGCGUAACGCGUGGGAACCUGCCCUUAGGUUCGGAAUAACUCCCCGAAAGGGGUGCUAAUACCGGAUAAUGUCUUCGGACCAAAGAUUUAUCGCCUUUGGAUGGGCCCGCGUUGGAUUAGCUAGUUGGUAGGGUAAAAGCCUACCAAGGCGACGAUCCAUAGCUGGUCUGAGAGGAUGAUCAGCCACACUGGGACUGAGACACGGCCCAGACUCCUACGGGAGGCAGCAGUGGGGAAUAUUGGACGAUGAGCGAAAGCCUGAUCCAGCAAUGCCGCGUGAGUGAUGAAGGCCUUAGGGUUGUAAAGCUCUUUUACCCGGGAUGAUAAUGACAGUACCGGGAGAAUAAGCUCCGGCUAACUCCGUG